CUACGGGAGGCAGCAGUGGGGAAUUUUGCGCAAUGGGCGAAAGCCUGACGCAGCAACGCCGCGUGGAGGAUGAAGGUUUUCGGAUCGUAAACUCCUGUCCCCAGGGACGAAAAAAAUGACGGUACCUGGGGAGGAAGCCCCGGCUAACUCCGUGCCAGCAGCCGCGGUAAUACGGGGGGGGCAAGCGUUGUUCGGAAUUACUGGGCGUAAAGGGCGCGUAGGCGGCCUGGGAAGUUCUGGGUGAAAGCCCCCGGCUCAACCGGGGAAGUGCCUGGAAAACCACUGGGCUGGAGUGCUGGAGAGGGAAGCGGAAUUCCUGGUGUAGCGGUGAAAUGCGUAGAGAUCAGGAGGAACAUCGGCGGCGAAGGCGGCUUCCUGGACAGACACUGACGCUGAGGCGCGAAAGCCAGGGGAGCAAACAGGAUUAGAUACCCCGGUAGUCC
rnacentral:rRNA from 1 species